UGAGGAACCUGCCCCGAAGACCGGGAUAACCCUCCGAAAGGAGAGCUAAUACCGGAUACCCCCACCGGACCGCAUGAUCUGGUGAGGAAAUGGAUUCCGCUUCGGGAGGGCCUCGCGGCCUAUCAGCUUGUUGGUGAGGUAAUGGCUCACCAAGGCGACGACGGGUAGCCGGCCUGAGAGGGUGACCGGCCACACUGGGACUGAGACACGGCCCAGACUCCUACGGGAGGCAGCAG
rnacentral:rRNA from 1 species